CUCCCUGGCAUGUUGGACCAAAAAAUAGUCAAUCCAUAAUAAUCUGCUAAUUCGCCGUAAUUCACAUGUUAAGCCAUCUGGCCCCAAAAGUCACCAUACAAUGCACAGGACGAUUUAUCCCCUAGCAUAUGCAGCCACAGCAUGUGUUGGUGCUGCAGGUGGGACCAGAAGUGCCCCCAUCUCGAGCAAACGACAGCGUUAUCCCCAGCACACAAGUGUGGAUCCACAGAGACAGCAUUUGGAGCACAGAGGAAUCCUGCUGUCUCCCAUUAAAUGCUUCAGUCAACUUUCUUUUUCCCCCAGCUAAAAUGCCCUGCAGCUCUAGGGGUAGACUUUGGAUCUCAAAGCUAGAAAGCUUCCACUGUAGCACAAGCAGUAUCCUAAAAUAGAGAAAUGAAAAACCAGAAACGUUGUUUUCCUCUUGCAGAGGGUUUGCAGUGAGAGACUGCUGAAAUGGCUCACUCCCAAUUGCUUCUCCUGACCUCCUGCGCUCAAAAGAUCUCUCAUCCUGAGGUCCAGAGGGACCUUGAUAUUGUGCCUAUGGCUCUGGUGUUACCAGAAACCACCUUAAGGUAACUGAGCACAGGGUUUGGUCUUUAUGAAUCAGUUUUAGGGAAGCUGACAGCUACAAAUCCCCAUGUUUUUGUUCUGCUGAAAGCAGCCUGAAGAUCUAAAUUUAACAGUUGAUUUCACAAUACUCAUUUUUCACUGUAAGUAAAAUCACUCUUGAAAAAUAGCACAUAAGAGGAAGGAAUAUAUUCUCCGGAUGCUCGAAAAGCAAACCAAAAAAAAAGCAAACAGGAUAAAUGUAUCCUCUUUCACCAUUCAGAUUGCUUCUGAUGGCAUAGAUUUCUACUUGAGAUCCUGGGGUGAAUUCUGUGAAUAAAGAUGUCAGUUACAGAGCACACUCAUAAUUCCUGACCCCAUUUAGGAGGGAGAUACAGCACGGAUCUCCAGUAUUCUGGUCAAGGAAAGCAAUGCCUGCAGAUCAAAUCUGAGACAUGAAUGGUUUUUUCACAUUAGCGAGACAGAUUUCUCCAGUAUAAAAGAGACUUCUUCAUGCACACAGUUAUUCUGAUAAAUUUCCCUAUGUAGACAAGUAAUCACUAUCACUUACCCCACACUCACAUAACUGCAGUGUAAUGAGGCCAUAAAGUGGAUGUAAAUAUAAUUUGUACUCCAGGAAUGGCAUAAAUCACCCUCACAUUAUGAGGCAAUUUAUUGUAAAUGAGCGUGAGGCCUCCCCAGGGAAAAUCUGUUUCAAAGAGUGACAAAUGGCAUCUUCUGCACAUUGCUUCCAGAUAGCAUUUGAAACAAGGUCUGCUUUCACACAAGCCAGUGUAGAUACAGAGGAUGCCUCCUGCUCCUCCUCAUGCCUUCUCAGCAGCCCACCAGGCACCACAGGCACGGCCAGGCAAAUUCAUUGGAGGGCGUAAGAUGUGCAUGUGUCCUUGGAAGCACAGUUUUUAUUUGGGAACAUCUAGGAAAGCGCUGGAAUUUAGCCUGGCCCUUGAGUGCCAGCGGAUUUUGUCAGUCUGGUAUUUAGGAAAAAAGUCAUUGCAGUUAGAAACUGAGCACAGCAGAGAAGAGACACCAAGAGGAAUUGCGCAGAGGCUUCGGUAAUACAGUGUGCCACGUCACAGCCUCCUGCAAUAGGAGAUGUGCACCCAUUGUGGUUCAGGACUUGCCUUUCGCCAUGUCCUGAUGGUCCAGGGGAUGACAGACAUGUCCCCUCUCUCUGUGCAGAUGUAUGACUGUAUGGGGGUUCGAAAAUGACUACUGGGGGCAUAGGCAUGGCCCAGACCACCCUUCUGGGUCUGGUCUCAAUCUCCCCCACCUGGAGUCCUCAGGGUGCCAUCCAGACCAAAAGAGAGAGACCCUUCCCAAGAUGGUAGGAUGCUUAAGCCUGCAGAGUACUUCCAUGGAGGUGACAUCUGUGGCCCACCUCCUCUCUGAGUGUAUUCUCUCCCAGGGAAGCUUCUCAUGUAUUCAGCAGAAGAGCUGCUGGCAGGAAGGCUGGCUCUGCAAUGGGCGGUGUGGAUGUGGCAAGCAGCUGGGUGCGGCUGAACGAGCUGCAGUAAUAGCAGAAGAAUGCAACGUGCCUCCUGGGCUGCAAGGCAGCUUGUGAGCAGGGUUGGCCCUGCAUGGCUCCCCUGCCACGUGAUGGAUGAGCAGGUGGUGUGGCAUGUUGCUGCUUUUCACUCAUUGUCAGGGCUUGCUGUGGGAAGUGACGUGCUGCUGUGCCCUCAGGUGUCCAGCUGGAAAAUCAAUUGAGCUCUGCCUGGGCCAUCAGCUCUUGUUCCCUGACCACAGCCAUCUCCUUGGGAGAGGCAGAGAUUGAUAAACUUCACUGGGAGGAGCUGAAGCAGAGCUGAGCGUUUGCCCUGUGGUCAGGUUUGUGCAACAGUCCCACCAGCAGUCCCACCUCAUGUAGUUUUGCUCCAUCUUGCUUCCUCUCUCUUCUGCCUCAGGUAGGAGCCCAGUCUUCAGGAUGUAAAUGGUAAUAAGAGCAACUCUUUUCAUAUCAGUCCUGAGCCUCAAGCUCACCAAUCACCUGGACCUUCGGUUCAGAGCAUACUGCAGCUUCUCUAGACUGCCUCGUGUCUGCCUUGAUUCAGUGCUGACCUCCUAGUCUUUCCUAGGCUCACUCCUGGAAAACGUUGGGCUUGACUCUGCCUUGCCAUAUUCACAUUUACUCAACAUGGGAAGGCCUUUCUGUCUUUGGUCCCAGCACUUUCUGGGAGACAAAUACUCCCCAUUAUAACAGACUUCACAUCUGCCUUGGAAAACCAAUGGGUUCAGGGCUGAGCUCCAGCCAUGUAGAGCCACAAGCUGUUUGUGUAGGACCUGCAAGUCUGGAGAAAUUUCAUGCUGAAGCUGUUAUUUUGGGUGUUCUUCAGCCAGUGUUGCCUACCCGUUGUGCCCGAGCUAGAGUUUAAUUCAUCUGUAUGGUUUGAGGUGAGGCUGUUGAUGAAAAUUAAGAAAACGUAACAUCUUAUGAGAGACCCCUCGUGGUACUGGAAGUGGUUUUGUCUAUGAAGGCCAGCUUGUCAGAUGGAAUUUGUCAGUUUAGCAUCAGUUUAACAUCAGUGAGGCUUUGUUGACUUGCGCACUCAGAGGAUUGGUUCCAGCCCCCGGUCUGUAUGGUUUUAUAGCAGAUAAUGAAUGCAACAUGUUGUGCUUGCUUUUCCUCCCCUUCUCUGAAGCUGCAGUGCUACUGACCUGAAAAUGUUUUCCCACUAUGAAACUUUCAAUUAGGACACAAAUCCUUUUUAAGUUGCUGAAUGCCACACGCUGCCUUCUCUCUGUGUGGGAACAGCUCCACUGCACCAAGAGGAGGUGUCAUCUUGACGGGAUAGUGAUUCCUUGUGGCACUGACUCAUAGCUGGUACCUUUGCGCUCAUUUUCACAUCUUCCUCCUGAUCCUGUUUUAGGCUGCAUUUCCAUUACUCCUCCACCCUGGGGGAGGAAUCCUCAGCCAACACAGAUCUAACCCGGAAACCACAAAGGCUGAAAAGCUCUCUCAUAGCAGUAAUGAUACCGUGUUUCCCUCCUCUGCAGCUGCAUUUUGAAAACAAAAGACCAAGAGGCAAAGUUGCCACCUACAAGCAGAACUUGCAGCUCUGUAGUCAUCGGGGACUUGUGCAAAUAGACUUAACCCAGAUGCCAGGGAACAUGCUUCCUAUUGGCGCCAGGGAACAUGCUUCCUAUUGGCACCAGGGACCGACAAGAACCAAAACUAUCGCCUAAUCUCGGGGGAGAACAAGGUCCAUUUUUUUGCAUAUUUAGCAAGGACAGGCUUAGACAUGAGCUGAGAAUUUAGCUUCAUCCAAAUUUUAUUUGCAGUAUUUGUGACCAGCAGUUUGGGCCAAUCUAUUGUAAAAAAAAAAAAAACAGCUGGGAAUAUCUGCAAAAUAAGGUGGCACACGCACUUCCACUUGGUUGCAACUCUGUAGAUACUCAUGUCUGUGCACAUAUUCCUGCUGCAUGAAAGAUUUCUUAUCGAAAAGAUCGAUGAAGAACAACCAGUAGUUAGAUGAGUCCAUUAUUUCAAAUGAAAUGUAGAUGAGUUGAAGUCUAUGCGCUGAUGAAUUCUUUUUACUACAAUGUUUUGCUAGGCCAGGUUUAUUUGUGUACUUUUGGGCUAAGUGCUAGUACAGAUAGUACUUUUGAACUGGCAAACAGUAGGUGAUUGACAUAAGACAGAAGGCCUGAUUUCAUCAAGGCUUUGGUAUGCCACUUGCUGGAAAAUCUAUUCUGAUAAGUGCCACCCAGUGUUAUUAAAUGUGGCACUGGAAGGUAAACUAAGUCCCUGCCAAGGAACUGCCAUUGUGAACUUGUUUGCUCUCUGUUCAUACAGACAGGCCUGAUGUUAGUCGUUAAUGGGAAAAGGUCAGUGGGACUAGGAAGGGCUUGGCUGCAUCUGGCUUUAGCUUCUGAAAUCCCCAGCCACAUAGCAGCAGUGUAAUUCUGUAAGCUUAGUAUGUAGAAGUCCAGUUCUUCCUUCUCUUGGACAAAUUCAAGAGCAUGAACUGGAAGUAAAAUAUGACCUAAAGCUAUGUGGUAUUUCACGUGCACUUGAUGUCUCAGUACUCCAUGUGAGAAGUAGGACGGUGGAGAAUCAAGUUGGUGUCCACAUGAGCUGCUUCUGAACACCUGACACCCCUCCCCUCUACCCAAGGCUGUCUGAAAUGCCUAUGGAAAGCUCUUCCAAGAAUUCCUUAAUACUGUAUUUCAGAUGUCAUGCUAUUUGUUUUCUUCUUCACCUGCUAGGAGUUCACUGCCUUAGCUGCCCAGGGCUUGAUAAUCUUCUCUGGAUCAGUAUGCUCUGCUUGGAUUUCUGUCGCCGCCUCUGUGUGACCUGUCCUCUGCUGGCCAGACACUUGCAGGCUCACGUGGGGCACCCACGCUUGGAUGGAAACACUGGAAUGGGUUAUUUCUUCUGAGUUGAUCAGAUCACACCUGCACCACCCUCAGAUAAGGGCAUCAUAUCAAAUAGCGCUUGGCGCUCCUGAAUGCAUUUGUCUUCUCCAACUUAUGAGGUAGGGAAGAGCUAUUUUCUCUCUGGUGUGGAAAGGAAACAGGAGAACUGAGACGCCAACGCCCACAUCUACAAAGGUAUUUAAGCUCUCUCUGGGAUCUGAGCAUCGUGGCCAAGUGGUUCGUUGAUAGUCACACGCAGUCUGGGACAGCAGGUGUCUAAAGCCAUGCUUCCAAAGUCCUAAGCUACAGCCCCUAUUGCAAGGAUUGAAUUUCUCCAAAACUCCUUUCAGGACCAAUUCUAAGAAAGGGCUGACAUUGCUGGUGCCAGUUCCUCUGGUUACUUUCCAUGGUGCCCCUUGUCCCCAGACUUGCUGUGCAGGGUCCUUUACAGGGGUUGCUCUCAGCACCUCGUGGCACCCAUCUCUGCUUGUUCGUGGUGGGUGCUGUGGAGGAAACCACCUGUUGCUGUAAAUCUGGUGGCGUUUCCUCAUCUCUUCUGCAUCCCCUUUCAGUUGCUGUAACUACAUCUGUGUGACCUGUUCGCUCCUGCUAUGUAGAAACUUAGGCAGUCACACGGGGACAUAUGGGGUAACUUGUACUCCCCUGACCCUGUAAUUAUAGAAGGGUCAGUUUAUUUCCAGAAAGUAUAGCUUACAUAUGGUUUUCCUUUCAUUAUUUUGGAUGGAGCGACCUGUCAGCUAGAAGGGCUCUGCUUGUUCCCUCUAGCAACAGCAAGUAAAUACCUGACCUAUUUAGAAAAACAUAAAGGAAACAAUAGAGACCUGGAGAAAUCUUUGGAUGCAGGAUGCUUGCUGAACUGUGUGUGACCCUCUGAAGAGCAACAUUAGCUUAAAAUAUUAGUACAUGUUAUUUAGUGAAGAUAAAAGAAAAUUAGAGAAAAUAUACAAGGCUUGAGGUCAAAGGUUCCUGUGCAGUCCAUUUCCCAUUGAAAUCAAAUGGCCAAAAUGAAGAGGUCAGCAGAAGUUUGCUUGAAUUUGGAUUGAGAGAAAACAAAGAAAGCUCCUUGCUCACUCCAGGGAGUGCUGUUAUCAAGAAGAUCUCAUCAUAACAGAACAAGGCCAGGAUUUUCAAAAUUAAUUAAUUGGUUUGCUUGCCUCUCUUGAAAUGGGCAGAGCAGAGCAGCUUUUGGGAAGGUGUGAGAAGCCGCUGAGCACCAUGGAGACCCGUGCUUAUGCUAGAAGUGUUAGCCAAUACCUUGAGUGUGCUUUGCAGUAUUUGACCCAUCUACUGUCAGAUCAGACUCCAGGGGAUAAAUUAGAGAAUUUUGACAUGGGUGAAUGUAAAGUCUUUCCUUCUGCCAUCUUGGGCAUCUCUGCUCUGCAUCCCUUUUUGUGCCAAGGCAGGAACAUAAUGUCCAAAGAAUGGAGAUGCCUCGUGUGAGUUUUAAGAUUUCAGGAUGCACUGAGCUCACCAAUGCAGGUGGUGAGUGCAGAGACCUCAGGAGUGGUGCUUGGAAGACAAGGUUGAAGGACUCCUGCGGUUCACAAAUGCUACUUUGGAACUGGAUAGUUGAGUACUGCCAGUUCCUAGAAUCAGCUUAAAGUUAAUAGAGUGAUGGCAGAUGCCCAAACAUCCUCACAAUCCUCUGUCUGCAGGCAGUUUUCAUCACAGUACAGACAAAAUAAAAUGGUUUUUAAAAGCAACACACCCUGCAGGUCUCUGUCCUCGCCACCGACUAUAUGAAAUUUAAGCUACCAAAAGAGAAAGGGGGAGGGAGUGAAUUCUUACAAAUAACGUAAUUGGAUAACCUUGAAAGUGUCAAAAAUGUGUGAGACUUUGAUACAUUUUUAUCCUCUUAAAAUAAAACAGAUGCUGAGGGGAGGCUAUCAUAAGGCAUCUCAGCAAGGCUGGUGCAAAAUACUGAAAUAGCUGAAAUAUUUGCUUUUUUCCAAGAGAAAAGCUAAGAAUGGGCUCCCCAGGGCAGUGGGCACGGCCGUGAGCUGCUGGAGCUCAUGGAGGGUUUGGACAGUGCUCAGACAGUGGCUUGAAUUUUGGGUGGUGCUGGGGUGGAGGCAGGAGUUGGACUCGAUGAUCCUUGUGGGUCCCUUCCAAUUCAUGGUAUUUUAUGACUUCCAAUUGAUCUGAAUUUUGAAAUAAGGUUUCAGAUGACUUCGAAUGGAUGCUUUUCACAUCCAGGAACAUGGUGAGAGACUUCUAGCUUACGUGAGAGAUUGCCUUCAGGCAGAAGAGCCAUUGCUUAAGUAGCAGCAUUUCUGCUCCAUAGGCAUGACACUACAUGUGUUCGGGUUCUUUAUAUAAGGCCAUUCUUCUCCUGAAGGGUCUGUAACUCCAUAUUUAAUCCACUCUUGAUUUCAGUGGAAGGUAGCGUACAGAAACAAAUCGUAAAUGACAGAAGGUGGGGGCGAACUUCAGCUCUAUUCUGUAGAAUCGGUUUUCCUAACAUCGGCAGUCUUUAGAGGAGCAUUUAUUAUUUUUUGGCAGCCUCGCUCAGAAUCAGAGCUCCAUUCAUUUUAUGCCUCCCUGUAUUUACCCAGCAGGUCAUCAGUUCAUGUAAGUUCAUCGUUAUGUUCAUUUAAGAGCGCAGUGUUCUGUUACUGUAGGUGUGGUUACUUCAUAAAUAGCAGAUAGCUGCAGUGGGACUGUACAGAAGCUGCCUUUGGCAGUUCACGAGAGACAGCAUUUUUUCAGGCUUUGGAUGAUUUGUUUGCAAUACCUCUGUGGGGUGGGUAGCAUCCUUGUUGUAAUGGUGUGGCAAUGGAGACGCAAAAGGAGUGACAUAUUUUGCUGAUGAUCACGCAGCAAGUCCUUUCUCACUUGACUGCCACCUAACUCUGCUACUGCUGCAAACUGAGAAACUAACCCUCAUGUCCACUAGUAGUGAUAAUGGGAGUUAAAAUAUGAAAUAUGCUAAGAAAUGGAUGUCAGGAGAGUCCCAUCUGUUCACCAGGCACAGCCUGUCUCCCUAGGGAUGCUUUGCACUCUCCUGAAAACAUAACCUAAUCCCAUGAGCAGAUAAAAGGUCAGACAGUGAGGAAAAUGUGCUCCUGAGCUUCUGACUCCUUUAACUCCUUCCGUGUCUUGGACAAACCUCCUCUCUCUCUGAGCAGUUAACUGAGUACAGAUCUCAGUAUUCUCCUCCCUACGGUUUAUUAUGAAUUUAUGAGGAAAAAAAUCCAAUCCCUUCAGCUAUGAAAAUCACCCUCCUUUGUCUAUAAAUAGGUUUAACCUCUUAAACUGUGUCAGAUGCUGCUGAUUCACCAAUCUGAUCUAGAUCUUCAGACGUUCUCUGCUCCUGCAGCUCCAGGGCAAGCGACUCAUGCUGUCUACAAGCGCAAUAUCCCGCUGAGCCUGGCAGAACCACGAUUGUGCUGACAGUGCCUGCAGAUUUCUACUGAAACCUGGGCAAGAGAUUUUCUCCAGAUCCAGUCUGCAGGCAACCCUUCUUUCACUGGGUGUUAUUCUGCUGAGAACAUUUCCAGAACCCUCUCUGACUGGAGAAGAAACUGACUACUUUUACUGACAGUUGUUUGAAAUUAUCAUGAGCAAAAAGACAACUCCUGUAGGCUCUAAACAGAGUCUCUCAUCUAGAAGCCUUUGGGACUUCAGUCAGCACCUCUCAAGCCCAAGUACAGCUUUCUUAUAAAAAGGACUGGAUUCUUCCUUAAAUAUCACAGUUUCUUGAAGGACAUCCACAGGACUUCUCUGUUUUCACAGAAUCAUAGAAUCAUUUAGGCUGGAAAACACCUUCAAGAUCAUCAACUCCAACCAUCAGCCUGAACUACUGAGUCCUAUCACUAAACCAUGUCCUUGUUCAAGGCUUGAGCUGGUGCCUGGUUAAGCUGCUGGGAGUCUUCUCCUUAGGAUGUCCUGUCUAUGUAUGAAUACAUCAGCUGAAGAUCUUCCUAACCAACCCUACUUCUAUCCCAAGUGCAAAGGAAAAAGGAAGCUUCCUUCAAAGCAAGAUCCCUCCAAAAAGAAGCCACAGAUAAUCUUUAUUUCCAUUGUCCCUUCUCCCCCUCCUUUGGAGAGCAGGCCUUGAAUCGACUUUCCCUAACCUGAUAUCAUCAGCAGAAGACUUGGGUGAAUACAGGCUCUUCAGAAAGAAGACUCUGGUCAGUGAAGCUGCAUUAAGGACUAUGUAGUGCUGAACUACCAAUGAGGUGUGAUCUGUCAAAGUGCCAUGGACAGGGACUGAUUCUAGAGUUGAAUAAGACAGAGAAGUUGCUCCUCUCCAGGUGGCUCAUGCCCCUCCCAGGACAUUUCUCCAUUGCUCCCAGGGGGCACCUGCAGGAACAGUGGACCUCUCAACUCCAGCACUGAGCCCUUUAGCCCACCCAUCCCAACAAACUGUCCAUGUCCAUGUGGUAACCAUUCUCUUUGCCUUUCCAAGAAAAGCCAUCAGAGAGGAACAAGCUGUGAGUAAGAGGAGGAGCAAAGCCCCAUGCCUUUUUUCUUCCUAUCUUUCUCUGCGGAGAAGUAACUCACAUUGGCUUUUCCCCAUUUUCCCCCACUUAAGGUCCUGCUAACAGAGUGAGAAGGUGCCUGUAAAUAACUUGUCCCCACCACCUCCAUGGCCUUGAGACCCCAUGAGAGAUGUGUAUGGAGACUGGGCAUAAUUCACCUCCCCCUUACAAGUGCCACAUGCUCUUGCAGCUCAUAUAUGACUUUUGCUCCUGCAGCAUGAUAGCCAUGCUCAGCAUCAAUGCUUCUCACCGCUGACAUAGCUGGCUGCCACUCUGAUGAUCCCUGGCCAGAGCAGGGUCAUCUUGAGCAGGAAGCAUGCAAAAUCCUGCAGGAUCUGUACAUGGGCAGGCAGGAGGGCGGGUGAGAAAGACCCCUUACCUCCCACGAUGAUAAUCUGGUCUCCAAUCACAACAGCUGGUGCACAGACGUUCUUCACCACUCUGGUCUCCAUCCGAAACCACAUAUUCCUGGAGACAUGGUAAACCUGACAAAUAAAUAAAGAUGCACACACA